UUCCCAUAGGGCGCUCAGCAGCUGGUGCAGGGCGCUGCGCGUCGAGCCCCGCUCCCGCCACACCGACACCAUGGCCCCCGACACUGCGGGGACAGCGCCGCGUCACCAAUGUCACCGUGUCCCCAAUGUCACCAUGCCCCCAUGUCCCCGUGUCCCCAAUGUCCCCAGUGUCCCCGUGUCCCAGUGUCCCCAGGUCCCCAUAUCCCCAUAACCCCAUGUCCCCCCAUGUCCCCAUGUCCCCAUGUCACUGCGUCCCCAUGUCCCCAUGUGCCCAUGUCCCCGUGUCCCCAUGUCCCCAUGUCCCCUUGUCCCCCUGUCCCCAUGUCCCUGUGUCCCCAUGUCCCCAUGUCCCCAUGUGCCCAUGUCCCCGUGUCCCCAUGUCCCCAUGUCCCCAUUGUCCCCAUGUCCCCAUGUCCCCGUGUCCCCAUGUCUCUGUGUCCCCAUGUCCCCAUGUCCCCAGUGUCCCCAUGUCUCCCUGUCCCCUUGUCCCCCUGUCCCCAUGUCCCUGUGGCCCCAUGUCCCCGUGUCCCCAUGUCCCCAUGUCCCCGUGUCCCCAGUGUCACCGUGUCCCCGUGGCCCAGUGUCCCCAGGUCCCCAUAUCCCCACAACCCAGUCCCCCCAUGUCCCCAUGUCCCCAAUGUCCCCAAUGUCCCCAAUGUCACCAUGUCACCAAUGUCACCGUGUCCCCAAUGUCACCGUGUCCCCAAUGUCCCCGUGUCCCCGUGUCCCAGUGUCCCCAGUGUCCCCAUAUCCCCACAACCCAGUGUCCCCAUGUCCCUCUAUCCACACAUCCCAAUGUCCCCGUGUCCCCCUGUCCCCAUGUCCCCCUGUCCCCGUGUCCCCCUGUCCCCAUGUCACUGCGUCCCCAUGUCCCCAUGUCCCCAUGUGCCCAUGUCCCCUUGUCCCCAUGUCACCAAUGUCCCCAGUGUCCCCAUGUCCCCAUGUCACUGCGUCCCCAUGUCCCAAUGUCCCCAUUAUCCCCAUGUCCCCUUGUCCCCCUGUCCCCAUGUCCCUGUGGCCCCAUGUCCCCAGUGUCCCCAUGUCCCCAUGUCCCCACAUCCCAAUGUCCCCAGUGUCCCUGUGUCCUCCAUGUCCCCAAUGUCCCCAGUGUCCCCAUGUCCCCGUGUCCCCAUGUCCCCAACGUCCCCAUGUCCCCGUGUCCCCAUGUCUCUGUGUCCCCAUGUCCCCAUGUCCCCAAAGUCCCCAACGUCCCCAUGUCCCCGUGUCCCCAUGUCUCUGUGUCCCCAUGUCCCCAUGUCCCUGUGUCCCCAGUGUCACC
ensembl:lncRNA